AUACGAAGGGGGCUAGCGUUGUUCGGAAUUACUGGGCGUAAAGCGCAUGUAGGCGGACAUUUAAGUCAGGGGUGAAAUCCGUGGGGCUCAACCUCGGAACUGCCUUUGAUACUGGGUGUCUAGAGUGUGGAAGAGGUAAGUGGAAUUCCGAGUGUAGAGGUGAAAUUCGUAGAUAUUCGGAGGAACACCAGUGGCGAAGGCGGCUUACUGGUCCAUUACUGACGCUGAGGUGACGAAAGCGUGGGGAGC
rnacentral:rRNA from 1 species